GAUAAACGCUGGCGGCGCACAUAAGACAUGCAAGUCGAACGAACUUAACUCAUUCUUUUAGUUUGAGAGCGGUUAGUGGCGGACUGGUGAGUAACACGUAAGCAACCUGCCUAUUAGAGGGGAAUAACAGUGAGAAAUCAUUGCUAAUACCGCAUAUGCUAACAGUAUCGCAUGAUACAGUUAGGAAAGGAGCAAUCCGCUAAUAGAUGGGCUUGCGUCUGAUUAGAUAGUUGGUGGGGUAACGGCCUACCAAGUCGACGAUCAGUAGCCGGACUGAGAGGUUGAACGGCCACAUUGGGACUGAGAUACGGCCCAGACUCCUACGGGAGGCAGCAGUCGGGAAUAUUGCGCAAUGGAGGAAACUCUGACGCAGUGACGCCGCGUAUAGGAAGUAAGGUUUCGGAUUGUAAACUAUUGUCGUUAGGGAAGAUACAAGACAGUACCUAAGGAGGAAGCCCCGGCUAACUAUGUG
rnacentral:rRNA from 1 species